CCUUGCUUUCCACUCAAAAACUACAAGUAUAGUUCUUUGAAAAUGUGAAACUCCGACCGAGCGUGGUGGCUCAUGCCUGUAAUCCCAGCUCGUUGGGAGGCCGAGGCAGGUGGAUCACAAGUCGCAGGUGGCGUGAUUUGAUUUGUGUGAAGGCAAUGAAAUGAUACACAGGUACACCGAAGCCUCCCAAAAGAAUCCUGGUUCCAAGAUUCAAGAAGGUAGAUUAAUAUUUUUCCAUUAAUUGUUUGAAAUUAUGUCAUUUUUUCACUAUGUGUCAUCGAUUUUAAAGCACUUCUGAAAAGACAUAACAAUCUACAUGAGAUGGCAUUUUAAAUUCAUAAACAUAGUAUUUUCCUCAACUUUUA